rnacentral:ncRNA from 1 species
UCACUCCCAGAUGUUCCACCGUACGUGUCCGUGAAAGCGGAGGCAGGCGGAGACGACUCGAAACCGAACGCGGCAAAGCACGACCUGGGCGCGUCAGAGUCUCCGA